GUGAGUGUGGGCGUGGCCGUCCCCGCGUGAGCUGUGUUCGGCUCUGACCCGGUCGUUGAGUAUGUGACUGGGACCGUUAAACGCCGGGAACAUGUUUGUGUGUGUAAAAUUGGUCACAGUAAAUUUUGAUGCAAGCUUUGUAGCGGGUUCUGCCAACAGAAGCUUAAAAGAUGUUAUUACUGUAUACAGUGUUUUCCUGUGGUCAUGUAUGGAUGUGAGAGUUGGACUGUGAAGAAGGCUGAGUGCUGAAGAAUUGAUGCUUUUGAACUGUGGUGUUGGAGAAGACUCUUGAGAGUCCCUUGGACUGCAAGGAGAUCCAACCAAUUCAUUCUGAAGAUGAGCCCUGGGAUUUCUUUGAAAGGAAUGAUGCUAAAGCUGAAACUCAGGCAAAGAGUUGACUCAUUGGCAAAGACUCUGAUGCUGGGAGGGAUUGGGGGCAGGAGAAGGGGACGACAGAGGAUGAGAUGGCUGGAUGGCAUCACUGACUUGAUGGACGUGAAUCUGAGUGAACUCUGGGAGUUGGUGGUGGACAGGGAGGCCUGGCGUGCUGCAAUUCAUGGGGUCGCAGAGUCGGACACAACUAAGCGAGUGAACUGAACUGAAUAUCUUUGUAAGUAUAACAUUUGCAUUUUUUACAUUUCCUCCAUAUAAACAUUUCCAGCGUUUUGUCACUGGUUCCUUUGAUGAGAAGUUACUCGGAAGCUCCACAUCCUAUAACGCAAUUUCAGAAAA
ensembl:lncRNA